ACUCAAAGGAAUUGACGGGGGCCCGCACAAGCGGCGGAGCAUGCGGAUUAAUUCGAUGCAACGCGAAGAACCUUACCAAGGCUUGACAUACCCUGGAAUCGGCUAGAGAUAGUCGCGCCUUUGGGCUGGGGUACAGGUGGUGCAUGGUUGUCGUCAGCUCGUGUCGUGAGAUGUUGGGUUAAGUCCCGCAACGAGCGCAACCCUUGUCUCAUGUUGCCAGCGCGUUAUGGUGGGGACUCAUGGGAGACUGCCGGGGUUAACUCGGAGGAAGGUGGGGAUGACGUCAAAUCAUCAUGCCCCUUAUGUCUUGGGCUUCACGCAUGCUACAAUGGCUGGUACAACGGGUUGCGAUACUGUAAGGUGGAGCGAAUCCCUAAAAGCCGGUCUCAGUUCGGAUUGGGGUCUGCAACUCGACCUCAUGAAGUCGGAGUCGCUAGUAAUCGCAGAUCAGCAACGCUGCGGUGAAUACGUUCCCGGGCCUUGCACACACCGCCCGU
rnacentral:rRNA from 1 species